rnacentral:tRNA from 1 species
UCCUUAGUAGCUCAGUGGUAUAGCGGUUGGUUGUUAACUGACCGGUCGUAGGUUCAAAUGCUACUUGGAGAG